rnacentral:rRNA from 1 species
UACGUAGGGGGCUAGCGUUGUCCGGAUUUAUUGGGCGUAAAGAGCGUGUAGGCGGCCAGAUAGGUCUGCUGUGAAAACUCGAGGCUCAACCUCGAGAUGUCGGCGGAAACCAUCUGGCUAGAGUCCGGAAGAGGAAAGUGGAAUUCCUGGUGUAGCGGUGAAAUGCGCAGAUAUCAGGAAGAACACCCGUGGCGAAGGCGGCUUUCUGGGACGGUACUGACGCUGAGACGCGAAAGCGUGGGGAGCGAACAGG